GGAGGGAUGUCUGAGUGGCUUAAGGAGCACGCUUGGAAAGCGUGUGUACGGUAACACGUACCGUGGGUUCGAAUCCCACUCCCUCCG
rnacentral:tRNA from 1 species